rnacentral:rRNA from 1 species
UUAAGCGACUAAGCGUACACGGUGGAUGCCCUGGCAGUCAGAGGCGAUGAAGGACGUGCUAAUCUGCGAAAAGCGUCGGUAAGGUGAUAUGAACCGUUAUAACCGGCGAUGUCCGAAUGGGGAAACCCAGUGCAAUUCGUUGCACUAUCGUUAACUGAAUACAUAGGUUAACGAGGCGAACCGGGGGAACUGAAACAUCUAAGUACCCCGAGGAAAAGAAAUCAACCGAGAUUCCCCCAGUAGCGGCGAGCGAACGGGGAGCAGCCCAGAGUCUGAAUCAGCUUGUGUGUUAGUGGAACGGUCUGGAAAGUCCGACGGUACAGGGUGAUAGUCCCGUACACCAAAAUGCACAGGCUGUGAACUCGAAGAGUAGGGCGGGACACGUGGUAUCCUGUCUGAAUAUGGGGGGACCAUCCUCCAAGGCUAAAUACUCCUGACUGACCGAUAGUGAACCAGUACCGUGAGGGAAAGGCGAAAAGAACCCCGGCGAGGGGAGUGAAAAAGAACCUGAAACCGUGUACGUACAAGCAGUGGGAGCACCUUCGGGUGUGACUGCGUACCUUUUGUAUAAUGGGUCAGCGACUUAUAUUCUGUAGCAAGGUUAACCGUAUAGGGGAGCCGCAGGGAAACCGAGUCUUAACUGGGCGUUAAGUUGCAGGGUAUAGACCCGAAACCCGGUGAUCUAGCCAUGGGCAGGUUGAAGGUUGGGUAACACUAACUGGAGGACCGAACCGACUAAUGUUGAAAAAUUAGCGGAUGACUUGUGGCUGGGGGUGAAAGGCCAAUCAAACCGGGAGAUAGCUGGUUCUCCCCGAAAGCUAUUUAGGUAGCGCCUCGUGAAUUCAUCUUCGGGGGUAGAGCACUGUUUCGGCUAGGGGGUCAUCCCGACUUACCAACCCGAUGCAAACUACGAAUACCGAAGAAUGUUAUCACGGGAGACACACGGCGGGUGCUAACGUCCGUCGUGAAGAGGGAAACAACCCAGACCGCCAGCUAAGGUCCCAAAGUCAUGGUUAAGUGGGAAACGAUGUGGGAAGGCACAGACAGCCAGGAUGUUGGCUUAGAAGCAGCCAUCAUUUAAAGAAAGCGUAAUAGCUCACUGGUCGAGUCGGCCUGCGCGGAAGAUGUAACGGGGCUAAACCAUGCACCGAAGCUGCGGCAGCGACACUAUGUGUUGUUGGGUAGGGGAGCGUUCUGUAAGCCUGCGAAGGUGACCUGUGAGGGUUGCUGGAGGUAUCAGAAGUGCGAAUGCUGACAUAAGUAACGAUAAAGCGGGUGAAAAGCCCGCUCGCCGGAAGACCAAGGGUUCCUGUCCAACGUUAAUCGGGGCAGGGUGAGUCGACCCCUAAGGCGAGGCCGAAAGGCGUAGUCGAUGGGAAACAGGUUAAUAUUCCUGUACUUGGUGUUACUGCGAAGGGGGGACGGAGAAGGCUAUGUUAGCCGGGCGACGGUUGUCCCGGUUUAAGCAUGUAGGCUGGUUGUCCAGGCAAAUCCGGAUAAUCAAGGCUGAGGUGUGAUGACGAGGCACUACGGUGCUGAAGUAACAAAUGCCCUGCUUCCAGGAAAAGCCUCUAAGCAUCAGGUAACAUCAAAUCGUACCCCAAACCGACACAGGUGGUCAGGUAGAGAAUACCAAGGCGCUUGAGAGAACUCGGGUGAAGGAACUAGGCAAAAUGGUGCCGUAACUUCGGGAGAAGGCACGCUGGUGUGUAGGUGAAGUCCCUGCGGAUGGAGCUGAGACCAGUCGAAGAUACCAGCUGGCUGCAACUGUUUAUUAAAAACACAGCACUGUGCAAACACGAAAGUGGACGUAUACGGUGUGACGCCUGCCCGGUGCCGGAAGGUUAAUUGAUGGGGUUAUCCGUAAGGAGAAGCUCUUGAUCGAAGCCCCGGUAAACGGCGGCCGUAACUAUAACGGUCCUAAGGUAGCGAAAUUCCUUGUCGGGUAAGUUCCGACCUGCACGAAUGGCGUAAUGAUGGCCAGGCUGUCUCCACCCGAGACUCAGUGAAAUUGAACUCGCUGUGAAGAUGCAGUGUACCCGCGGCAAGACGGAAAGACCCCGUGAACCUUUACUAUAGCUUGACACUGAACAUUGAGCCUUGAUGUGUAGGAUAGGUGGGAGGCUUUGAAGCGUGGACGCCAGUCUGCGUGGAGCCAACCUUGAAAUACCACCCUUUAAUGUUUGAUGUUCUAACGUUGGCCCCUUACCGGGGUUGCGGACAGUGUCUGGUGGGUAGUUUGACUGGGGCGGUCUCCUCCCAAAGCGUAACGGAGGAGCACGAAGGUUAGCUAAUCCUGGUCGGACAUCAGGAGGUUAGUGCAAUGGCAUAAGCUAGCUUGACUGCGAGCGUGACGGCGCGAGCAGGUGCGAAAGCAGGUCAUAGUGAUCCGGUGGUUCUGAAUGGAAGGGCCAUCGCUCAACGGAUAAAAGGUACUCCGGGGAUAACAGGCUGAUACCGCCCAAGAGUUCAUAUCGACGGCGGUGUUUGGCACCUCGAUGUCGGCUCAUCACAUCCUGGGGCUGAAGUAGGUCCCAAGGGUAUGGCUGUUCGCCAUUUAAAGUGGUACGCGAGCUGGGUUUAGAACGUCGUGAGACAGUUCGGUCCCUAUCUGCCGUGGGCGCUGGAGAAUUGAGGGGGGCUGCUUCUAGUACGAGAGGACCGGAGUGGACGCAUCACUGGUGUUCGGGUUGUCAUGCCAAUGGCACUGCCCGGUAGCUAAAUGCGGAAGAGAUAAGUGCUGAAAGCAUCUAAGCACGAAACUUGCCCCGAGAUGAGUUCUCCCUGAGACUUUAAGUCUCCUGAAGGAACGUUGAAGACGACGACGUUGAUAGGCCGGGUGUGUAAGCGCAGCGAUGCGUUGAGCUAACCGGUACUAAUGAACCGUGAGGCUUAACCUU